rnacentral:rRNA from 1 species
UGCAAGUCGAACGGAAAAUUGAGCUUCGGUUCAAUUUUUAGUGGCGAACGGGUGAGUAACACGUGAGCAACCUGCCCUACAGUGGGGGAUAACGUUUUGAAAAGAACGCUAAUACCGCAUAACGUAUCGGAGAGGCAUCUUUCUGAUACCAAAGGAGCAAUCCGCUGUAAGAUGGGCUCGCGUCCGAUUAGCCAGUUGGCGGGUAACGGCCCACCAAGUCGACGAUCAGUAGCCGGACUGAGAGGUUGAACGGCCACAUUGGGACUGAGACACGGCCCAGACUCC